GUCGGGGGCUUCGUCUUGGGCUUGGUCUUCCUGGCACUGGGGCUCGGCUUCUACCUGCGGGAGAAGAGCUCCUGAGCCGCCGGCGGCCGCAGCCCCUCCCCGUGGCCUCGGGCCCAGCCAGGACCCUCCAGUCCAACCCUGUCCACACUUUUGGGGUGUCGUGUGUCCCCCCGGCCCUACUUUUGUUUGCACCCCAGCCGGCUGCUCCCAGUGUUCCCAGUAAAGCUUCCCAGUUCUCUACA